rnacentral:rRNA from 1 species
GACGGAGGGUGCAAGCGUUGUUCGGAAUUACUGGGCGUAAAGGGCGCGUAGGCGGUCUGUUAAGUUCGGUGUGAAAGCCCCCGGCUCACCUGGGGAACUGCGCCGGAAACCGACAGACUCGAGUACCGGAGAGGAGGGUGGAAUUCCUGGUGUAGCGGUGAAAUGCGUAGAUAUCAGGAGGAACACCGGUGGCGAAGGCGGCCCUCUGGACGGAUACUGACGCUGGAGGCGACGAAAGCGUUGGGGAUCAAACAGGA